rnacentral:rRNA from 1 species
UACCCGCUGANCUUAAGCAUAUCAAUAAGCGGAGGAAAAGAAACCAACAGGGAUUGCCUCAGUAACGGCGAGUGAAGCGGCAAAAGCUCAUCUUUAAAAGCUUCGGCAUUGUAACGGUGGCGGAAGGGGCAUUCAAAAGUCCAUUGGAACAUGGCGCCAUCGAGGGUGACAGCCCCGUAAGAUACGCCCCACGCCUCCACCAAAUGAGUCGAGUUGUUUGGGAAUGCAACUCUAAGAGGUGGUAAACUCCAUCUAAGGCUAAAUAUCGACGAGAGACCGAUAGCGAACAAGUACAGUGAUGAAAGAUGAAAAGCACUAAANG